rnacentral:rRNA from 1 species
CAAGUCGAACGGGGGUGGGGGCAACUCCACUUCAGUGGCGAACGGGUGAGUAAUGCAUCGGAACGUGUCCCGUAGUGGGGGAUAACGCCGCGAAAGCGGCGCUAAUACCGCAUACGCUCUGUGGAGCAAAGCCGGGGACCCGCAAGGGCCUGGUGCUAGGGGAGCGGCCGAUGUCCGAUUAGCUAGUUGGUGGGGUAAUGGCUUACCAAGGCAACGAUCGGUAGCUGGUCUGAGAGGAUGAUCAGCCACACUGGGACUGAGACACGGCCCAGACUCCUACGGGAGGCAGCAGUGGGGAAUUUUGGACAAUGGGGGCAACCCUGAUCCAGCCAUGCCGCGUGCGGGAAGAAGGCCUUCGGGUUGUAAACCGCUUUUAGCCGGGAAGAAAAGGCGCGGGCUAAUACCCUGUGUUUUUGACGGUACCGGCGGAAUAAGCACCGGCUAACUACGUGCCGCAGCCGCGGUAAUACGUAGGGUGCGAGCGUUAAUCGGAAUUACUGGGCGUAAAGCGUGCGCAGGCGGUUCGUUGUGUCGGCGGUGAAA